AUUGACGGGGGCCCGCACAAGCGGCGGAGCAUGCGGAUUAAUUCGAUGCAACGCGAAGAACCUUACCAAGGCUUGACAUAUACUGGACUCCCCUAGAGAUAGGGUUUCCCUUCGGGGCUGGUAUACAGGUGGUGCAUGGUUGUCGUCAGCUCGUGUCGUGAGAUGUUGGGUUAAGUCCCGCAACGAGCGCAACCCUCGUUCUAUGUUGCCAGCACGUGAUGGUGGGGACUCAUAGGAGACUGCCGG
rnacentral:rRNA from 1 species